AUUGAACGCUGGCGGCAGGCCUAACACAUGCAAGUCGAACGGAAGCACGGUGCUUGCUUGUGGUUUCAGCGGGGGACGGGUGUGUGAUGCCUGGGAAUAUCCCUAGCUGCGGUUUCGGACGUCCUGACACAGGCGCUAAUACUGCAUUAGUGCAGAGGGCGUACGGGGGGGAGCAUCGGAACUUCCGCCCUCAGGCGAGUCUAGGUGGGGUUAGCUAGUUGGUGGGGUAAAGGCCUACCAAGGCGACGAUCCGUAACUGGUCUGAGAGGAUGAUCAGCCACACUGGAACUGAGACACGGUCCAGACUCCUACGGGAGGCAGCAGUGGGGAAUAUUGGACAAUGGGCGAAAGCCUGAUCCAGCCAUGCCGCGUGUGUGAAGAAGGUCUUCGGAUUGUAAAGCACUUUUGUUGGGGAGGAAGAGCAGUAGGUUAAUACCUAGCUGUUGUGACGGUACCAACAGAAUAAGCACCGGCUAACUUCGUG
rnacentral:rRNA from 1 species